UCAGGAUUCAGGUGAGAUGAGACAGACAGCAGGGUUCCAGAACAGGCCUUCAGGACUCAGGUGAGAUGAGACAGACAGCAGGGUUCCAGAACAGGCCUUCGCCUUCAGGACUCAGGAGAUAGAUGGGAAGUCCCUCCUCCUGAUGCAGCGUAACGAUGUCCUGACAGGCCUCUCAAUCAGAUUAGGCCCCGCCCUGAAGAUCUAUGAGCGCCAUGUGAAGGUUCUGCAGAGAACACACUUUGAAGAGGACGACUGAUGACUUUACCUGGAGAGAGACACACACACACUCCUCCUCCUCCUCUCUCAACUUUAACUACGGAACAUUCCAAUCCCCAAACCCUGACCCCUGAACUCUAAACUGACCAACCCUCUCCUGGACUCUCCUCUCACAUCCCCCUGUCCUGGACUCAACUCUACUCUCCUCUUCAUCCAACUCUCCUCUCACAUCCCCCUCUCCAAGCCACAACUCUCCUCUCCUCCUUCAUCCAUCUCUCCUCUCACAUCCCCCUCUCCAAGCCACAACUCUCCUCUCCUCCUUCAUCCAUCNNNNNNNNNNUUCAGGAUUCAGGUGAGAUGAGACAGACAGCAGGGUUCCAGAACAGGCCUUCGCCUUCAGGACUCAGGUGAGAUGAGACAGACAGCAGGGUUCCAGAACAUCAGGGAUCAUCAGAGAUUCAGCAAUCACACCUGACAACCCUUUAGCAGUGUGACAUUGUUGUAUUUACUGUGUCGUUACUGUAUUGGGUAACUACUAUGUGUCUUAUCUAGAACUACUUACUAUGUAACUACUUCGUGUACCUACUAUAUUAUAACUUUAUAACUAAAUAUAUUCUCUCUCUCUC
rnacentral:lncRNA from 13 species